UACGGGGGGGGCAAGCGUUGUUCGGAAUUACUGGGGGUAAAGGGCUCGUAGGCGGCCAACUAAGUCAGACGUGAAAUCCCUCGGCUUAACCGGGGAACUGCGUCUGAUACUGGAUGGCUUGAGAUUGGGAGAGGGAUGCGGAAUUCCAGGUGUAGCGGUGAAAUGCGUAGAUAUCUGGAGGAACACCGGUGGCGAAGGCGGCAUCCUGGACCAACACUGACGCUGAGGAGCGAAAGCCAGGGGAGCAAACGGG
rnacentral:rRNA from 1 species